AUUCUACUUCCUGUUAAAUAUUUGUUAAAACUCAGUGGUCCCGUAAUUUUUACCGAUUACGUAUGACGUCAUUGACAUCAACGAAUGUUUUCACGAUUUCAUGUUUGUCAAUAGAGCCCCCCCCCCCCCCCGCUCGUUUCGGUAAAUUUAGUUCUGCAGCACGGUGGAAAGCCUUGCAAAGUCUCUAUUGCACUAUUCUUCGACUAUUCGUCGACUAUUCGCGGACCAUUCGUCGACUAUUCGCCGACUAUUCGUACUAUUCGUCGACUAUUCGCACUAUUUGUCGACUAUUCGCGGACUAUUCGCACUAUUCGUCGACUAUUCGCAGACUAUUCGUACUAUUCGUCGACUAUUCGCACUAUUCGCUUCACUAUUCUAGUUUUAUCAAUUGCC